CCUACCCCUGGCACAGAUCUUGCAUCUGAUAUAUAUUUAGGUUGCAAUGCUAUGCACACUUACAUAGGAACAACACUUACAUACCUUUGAAUUCCAUUUAAUACAGUGGAGUACACAUGCAUAGGAUUGUGCUGUUAGGAGUCUUCUGGUUUUGCUUCAGACACAUUGGCUUGGUGUCCAGUAAACAUUAAAUGUAGGAUUGUCUUCCUAAAAAGAAACAGAGAUCUCCAGAGUAGGUAAAGGGACCCCUGACAAUUAAGUCCAGUCACGAACAACUUGGGGGUUGUGGCGCUCAUCUCGCUUUACAGGCCAAGGGAGACGGCAUUUGUCCGCUUCCGCAGACAGUUUUUCCGGGUCAUGUGGCCAGCAUGACUAAGCUGCUUCUGGUGAAACCAGAUCAGUGCACGGAAAUGCCGUUUACCUUCCCGCCGGAGUGGUACCUAUUUAUCUACUUGCACUUUGACGUGCUUUUGAACUGCUAGGUUGGCAGGAGCUGGGACCGGGGGUUUGAACCACCGACCUUUCGAUCGGCAAGCCCAAGCGGCACAGUGGUUUAACCCACAGAGCCACUAAAUCUAGGGCAGGGACAAUGACUUGUUUCCUCCCCAAUACUAGAUAUCAGAGAAGACAACAUUUAGUUCUUUGAUACAGUUUUAUUAUGUAAACAUCUACUCUGAAAGCAAAUUAGCAUGUGAUUUUUCUUUACUGGUGAAUACAUUUUGCUUGUAGGUGUCACAAUUAAACUGUAGGAAAGGUACUUGGAAUAAAACAAAACUUGUUGCAACAUAUUUUCACAUGAUCCUCAAAUGCAUUUGAAUGGAGUAAAUAAUUUUACCCACUGGGAAAUCUUUGGCCUAUACUUUCAAGGAUUAUUGGGCUCCUGAGCUGCACAGAUGCCCUGAAGUGAUCAUAUUCUUGCUUGUUUAACUAAAUAUAAUUUUUGUUCUUAUUAAGGCCGAGUGAUUGUAAUUAUAUAACUUGAAAUCAUGCUGCUUGAUAAGUUGAUUAUAGCAUAUGCUGGGUAAGUCAGGGUUGGUGACUAUUUUAACAAAUGUUGGUUGUUUGGUCAAAAAACACAAAUACCAACCAUUGCCUUCUUAAAGGUAAAGGGACCCCUGAGCAUUAGGUCCAGUCGUGGACGACUCUAGGGUUGUGGCACUCAUCUUGCUUUACUGGCCGAGGGAGCAGGUGUACAGCUUCCGGGGCAUGUGGCCAGCAUGACUAAGAUGCUUCUGGUGAACUAGAGCAGCGCACAGAAAUGCUGUUUACCUUCCCGCCGGAGCGGUACCUAUUUAUCUACUUGCACUGUGUGCUUUCGAACUGCUAGGUUGGCAGGAGCAGGGACCAAACAAUGGGAGCUCACCCCAUUGCGGGGAUUCAAGCUGCCAACCUUCCGAUCGGCAAGCUCUAGGCUCUGUGGUUUAAACCACAGCACCAAGCUCAAUUAUGUUUCGUGUAUUGUUAAAUUGGUCAUAGUGAUCUUUACAAAGAGGAAACCAGCUGUAUUGCUAAAUAUUAGUUGUACUGCAAUGAUGUUUAGGUUGUGAAUUAUAAACACCUGGGAGUUACUUCCAUGUACCUUCCUUUUUUUUCUUUUUUCUUUUUCUUUUUUCUUUAGUAAAACCUUGGCAAUAGGUUUAGUUUUUAUUUGAAGAGUUGCAGCUAAUCAGAAUAGCAAUAAUCUUUCAGAGCUGUGGUUAAUCAUAGAAAUUGUUCUAUAUUAGUCCAUGAUUUCUAUAGAACUGGUUAAUUUGGGUUAUAUGUCGGCCAUGAACAAGUAAGACUCUGUGCUUGCUAGGGUGAGAUAGAAGAAACUUGAGAGUAUAAAUAUUCAGAAGGAAGAGUUCGGUGUGUCUUGAUUUUAUAGCUACAAUAUUUCUGUGCUUACUGCAUUCUGCAGUCAGCACAAAAUGGUAGAAAUUCCUAGGUGUCAUAUAAUGUGCGAAUGUUUGAAGUGGCACACUCAAAGACACACUCUUAUCAGCUAGAGGCCCGCAUGAUGAAUGUUCUGCUGGAGUGUAUCUCUUCAGACUGCAGGUGGGGGAAUCAAAUGGUUGAAUCUUUUCUCCAUGUAUAAAAAGUUUGCUAGCUUUUGUAGCUGUAGGGAGCUAUAUUCUCUUACAUUAAAGUUGCAGGCGAAGUGUUCAAACUACAGGUGAAGUAUUCAAACAUUUUAUUUUCCCACCUGCAGUGUGAUGUAGUAUAAUUUAGCAGCAGAUUAUUUGGGGGGGCCCUUCUGAUCAGUUGACUCUUAAUGAAAACUCAUUUAUUGGCUACAGUCUAUCAGGCCCACUGAAGCAUUGACUCUGAGACAGUUCACACAUUCAGAUGAAUAAAGUGGAAUGAAACUCUGGGAAUUAACCAGUUCUUCCUGCAGGUGUUGCAUCAUGUGUUUAUAUGCUGCCCAUAUUAAACAAAAUUAAACACAUCCCAGUAUAUGGAAAGCAGCAAGAAGUUGGUGUUUCAUUCCUUUUCAGUUCAUUCUGAGGAACAUUUGAAUGUACAAUACCGUCCAGAGUUUAAAAUGGUACAGUCCGAGUAACUUUGUGCCAUGCAAUUUAUUUUGACUAUGUUGUAAACUGGUUUGGCAAAACACAGAUAAGGCCAAACAGAAAUUCUUACAGCUUUUCUACCUUAAGUGAUGUAGGGCUGGUAGCAAUAUCAAAAUCUGGUAUUUUAUACAUGGUAGGCCUUAAAUGGUAAUGGCAGUAGUAGUAGGAUUUCUUGCUGCAAUAUUACACACAGCAUCAGAAAGAAAUUAGAUACUAUUUGCCAGUUUGGGGUUUCUUUAAAAUCCUUUUCACCGUUGAGAGCCUUAAAUACUGGGCUGAAUCAUCUAAAAGUUGAUACCCUGCAAUAAAUCGAUACAAAUAAUUUUUAGUACUUAAUCCAAUACUUAUGAGACAUAGGAUAGCUGCACAUUAUCACCAUGGAGGUAUUUGAUUAUACUGUAGAAUUAUUCUUGGUAGGCUAAAGCUUGAUCUUAAUAUUAUUAAAAUAAAAUUGCUUUAUAAAGUGAGGUGUUGGAAUUAGAUUAACCUUUUAUAAGCAGUAUUUUAAGGAAAUUCAGAGAGUCUGAGAACUUUUUUGAGGACAUAGAAAUGUUUAAGUGCUGCCUGCUCCUAUAUAAGAAUGAGAACCCCUAACAUAAGGAAACUAAAGAACACUGGGCAUUUACCAGGACCCAUGCUAGUAAGUCUUCAAAUGGGAGCCAGCCUGCAUUCCACCCUGCCUCCACCAACCCUGUAGCAUUUACAUAUAAAGGAUUACCAAGUACUAAACAUUCCCCGUCACUUCAGUAGAUAUUGUUUUUCCUAGACUAAGGUACUUUUAAAAAGCACCCCUUUCAAAGCUGAAGUAUUUUAAUGGUAGGUCUUAAUGUUUUCACACAUAAUGUAUCUUAUCCAAAUGCAGAACUCUUUAGCCUAGGCUUCAAUUCUCUCAAAUAUGCUAAUCCAUACACCUAACAAAAGGCAGAUACAAAAAGACAGAAGGAGUGUUUCAGCUGUUUUGUUUCUGCUCUGGGUCAGGCUAACAGAACUAAUUGGUCCCUACUCUGUAUGUGCUGGAACUUCCAGUACUAAUUAGAAUGUGUUUAGUGUCUUGUUGGACACAGGUAUCUCCAUCCCAAAGAUACUCCAGUGUGAUAGUGUUCUUCUGUCUCAAACUUCAGAUGGGAACAGACAAAGGGAUUAAUAAAGGAUAUGGGGGAUAAGAUAAUUUUUUUAGAGAUGUCUGGCAAUUAUUAGGCACAUUACAUGCCAUGAAUAUUUUUCCAUUGUUAACUGGAAGCUACUGCAUGUUUGCUGGUUUUAGUGAGAUGUGUUGGUCAUUCUUUGGAUUGCAACCUCUUUCUUUCAAUUGGGCUAGUCCUAGUGGGAUUUUGGUUCCCUCUCUCUCAAAUAACAGGCCCUUGAGAUAUAUCUCAAAUUAAUUUCUGUAAUUUUGCAUCAGCAUUAAAAGUAGUUUGCCAAGCGGCCCAGAGGCUGCCCUUCUAGAAACAUCAAUCCCCAAACCCCUUAGGCAUGUGAAGCAGACUGAGUGACUUCUUUGAAUCCUGACCACUACACUAAAAAGCAUGAAUGUGCCAGACUAAGACAGCUGUGAUACUGUGUAGAUUGAAUUGGCUCAAGUGGUGGUAAUACAUGUAGAAAUAAUUAAUUUAAAAUGUCUGCAUUUAGCCAAAUGGUGUGUGUAGUAGAGGGAGCAACAGCAGUGCUCCUUUCUGUGGCUACAGGGAGGGUUGACUGCCUGGGGAGAGAUUCUCAAAAUCCUACUUUACGACACCUUCCCAUGGACCAUAUGAUUGUGCCCUCAAUAUGUUACAGC